AGAUUGAACGCUGGCGGCAUGCCUAACACAUGCAAGUCGAACGGGAGUAGCAAUACUCUAGUGGCGGACGGGUGAGGAAUACGUAGGAAUUUGCCCUUAAGUGGGGGAUAACCCGGGGAAACCCGGAUUAAUACCGCAUGACCUCGAAAGAGCAAAGUGGGGGAUCGCAAGACCUCACGCUUUUGGAGAAGCCUACGUCGGAUUAGCUAGUUGGUGAGGUAAUGGCUCACCAAGGCGACGAUCCGUAACUGGUCUGAGAGGAUGAUCAGUCACACCGGAACUGAGACACGGUCCGGACUCCUACGGGAGCAGCAGGUGGGAAUAGUUGGACAAUGGGCGCAAGCCUAGAUCCAGCAAUCGCCGCGUGUGUAGGAAGAAGGUCCGUUACGGUUAGUAAAGUCAACGUUUAAGGUUAGGGAAAGAAAAACGUACGACUACGUAACACUAGUAG
rnacentral:rRNA from 1 species